rnacentral:rRNA from 1 species
AGUGAACGCUGGCGGUAGGCCUAACACAUGCAAGUCGAACGGCAGCACAGGAGAGCUUGCUCUCUGGGUGGCGAGUAGCGGACGGGUGAGGAAUACAUCGGAAUCUACUCUGUCGUGGGGGAUAACGUAGGGAAACUUACGCUAAUACCGCAUACGACCUACGGGUGAAAGCAGGGGACCUUCGGGCCUUGCGCGAUUGAAUGAGCCGAUGUCGGAUAGCUAGUUGGCGGGGUAAAGGCCCACCAAGGCGACGAUCCGUAGCUGGUCUGAGAGGAUGAUCAGCCACACUGGAACUGAGACACGGUCCAGACUCCUACGGGAGGCAGCAGUGGGGAAUAUUGGACAAUGGGCGCAAGCCUGAUCCAGCCAUACCGCGUGGGUGAAGAAGGCCUUCGGGUUGUAAAGCCCUUUUGUUGGGAAAGAAAUCCAGCUGGCUAAUACCCGGUUGGGAUGACGGUACCCAAAGAAUAAGCACCGGCUAACUUCGUGCCAGCAGCCGCAGUAA